UCCUCGUUAGUAUAGUGGUCAGUAUCCCCUGCCUGUCACGCGGGAGACAGGGGUUCAAUUCCCCGACGGGGAGA
rnacentral:tRNA from 1 species